AUCAAGGGAGUAGCAGACGGUUUUUACCGUGGAUCCGGUCGUCAUUACGAAAGAAAUUUCCGGCUGGACCUUAAACAGCGAGACUUGUUUAGCAAACAGGUCUCUUUUU
rnacentral:ncRNA from 1 species